rnacentral:lncRNA from 1 species
AAGCUCAAACCACACAUCUGCACACAUGUUGGGGGAAGGGGUUAAAAGGCAAAAGGUGUGUUGACAGCCAUGGAAAGUGGGAUGUCUGAUUUAUGAAAGGUUCUGCAAAGUCCCUCUCCCUCUUCUCUUUCUCAUUGGGGGAAAGAGGUGUGUGACCAAUCUGUCAAUGUUUUUGAUGUUUGAGUGAAAACAGCAUUUAGUUUAAACAGCAUGUGAAGCAAAGUAUCAGUUGUUCAUGAGUUAAUGGAGUAGAGAUGUGGAAUAUUGCUAGAAUUUUAGCUAUGCUUUUUCUAUUGACAAAGAGAAGAAGAAAGCAAUUCUGUUCUUUGACCAUGAUGCGAUCAGAGGGACGUGUUUUAAGAUUGUAUUGUAAAUAUUCCUUGUAAAUAAAGUAGAACUAAAUUAGAAAGAACCAAUUUCAUUGGAAGCAGAUUUAUGGAAUUUGUUUGAACUGUUUUUCCUCCUGCCUUAAAGACAGAGUCUUUUGAAGGUCAAGAUGACUGAGAUUAAAGCAGCUGAUUUAUGGCCGGUUUAUUUCAAUUACCUGACAUAAUCACCUUCCCCGCCAUUACUCAUUCACUGUGAAUAUGCAAAUAGUGGCAUUCCAAAAUUUAAAAGGAUUCAAAAUACAGAGAGGAACCCGGCCAGUUUGCUGACUGGUAAUGGUAGGAGAUGCAGUCCAACACAUCUGGUAUCAGGCUGGGCAAGGCUGGUGUAAACACCUUCAAAAUCAAAUAUGUGUGUACAUUGUGAUUUUUUGGUUUAGUCAUAUUUAAAAGUGACAAACAUUGAGUGCCACAGUUUUGUUCUUGUUUAAGGUGAAUGUGACAGACAGGACCUUCCAAUACAUAAACCCUAUUCCAGAGAUCUAUGCAGCUGAUCAACUAGCACGCAAGUUUAAAGAAACAGAAACUCUGUAAGAUGUCACAUGCUGUAGUGCUUCAUGUUCCUUAACACUUGGACUCUUCUUUCAUUUUCUUUUUUUAGGACUCUGUCAAAUUCCAGCCUCAUUGGUUCUGGGUGUAGAAGUAUGCCGUGAUUACAACGGGAUUUGCCUGAAGACCCGCAAUUGUCCCUUUUUUUCUGCCUGGCAGGACAUAUGUGACAUAGACUACAUUUGCUGUAGAAGUCGAAUAUACACUGAUGAAGACUGUAAGGCAGCAAACGGAAUUUGUAGACCCCGAAGAGGUCCUGACCGUGAAUGUUCAUUCAAUACAUACAAAUUUGGAACAUGUAGCACAGGAGGUGCAUGUUGUAUGAGGUAAAAAGUUUCCUUAUUAAAGUUCAGAGCCAUUUUUCUUACUCUCAUUCACAGGGUCUCGUUAUCAACAGUUCUCCUGGUGAUUUGUUUAUACAACAGUGAAUAAAUGUAAUGUACAUGCAAAACACUAAUAAACUGCCAGUUGAUAACAUAAUUUCUUGCUGAAGGAGAGGCCUGCACAUUUCCACCAAGGGUUCAUCUACACUGGCCGUUUAAAGUG